AGCACAGAGGAGCUUGCUCCUUGGGUGGCGAGUGGCGGACGGGUGAGUAAUGCAUCGGGAUCUACCCUGACGUGAGGGAUAACCUCGGGAAACCGGGACUAAUACCGCAUACGUCCUACGGGAGAAAGCGGGGGACCUUCGGGCCUCGCGCGGCAGGACGAACCGAUGUGCGAUUAGCUAGUUGGCGGGGUAAUGGCCCACCAAGGCGACGAUCGCUAGCUGGUCUGAGAGGAUGAUCAGCCACACUGGGACUGAGACACGGCCCAGACUCCUACGGGAGGCAGCAGUGGGGAAUAUUGGACAAUGGGCGCAAGCCUGAUCCAGCAAUGCCGCGUGUGUGAAGAAGGCCUUCGGGUUGUAAAGCACUUUUAUCAGGAGCGAAAUACCACGGGUUAAUACCCUAUGGGGCUGACGGUACCUGAGGAAUAAGCACCGGCUAACUUCGUGCCAGCAGCCGCGGUAAUACGAAGGGUGCAAGCGUUAAUCGGAAUUACUGGGCGUAAAGGGUGCGUAGGCGGUUACUUAAGUCUGUCGUGAAAUCCCCGGGCUCAACCUGGGAAUGGCGAUGGAUACUGGGUGGCUAGAGUGUGUCAGAGGAUGGUGGAAUUCCCGGUGUAGCGGUGAAAUGCGUAGAGAUCGGGAGGAACAUCAGUGGCGAAGGCGGCCAUCUGGGACAACACUGACGC
rnacentral:rRNA from 1 species